rnacentral:tRNA from 1 species
UGCAUCGGCCGGGAAUCGAACCCGCCGCCCGCGUGGCAGGCAAGCAUUCUACCACUGAACCACCGAUGG